UACGUAGGGUGCAAGCGUUAAUCGGAAUUACUGGGCGUAAAGCGUGCGCAGGCGGUUAUGCAAGACAGAUGUGAAAUCCCCGGGCUCAACCUGGGAAUUGCAUUCGAGACUGCAUGGCUAGGAUGCGGAAGAGGGAAGCGGAAUUUCCGGUGUAGCGGUGAAAUGCGUAGAUAUCGGAAGGAACACCAGUGGCGAAAGCGGCUUCCUGGUCCAGCAUCGACGUUCAGGCACGAAAGCGUGGGGAGCAAACAGG
rnacentral:rRNA from 1 species